rnacentral:rRNA from 1 species
UAAGCAUAUCAAUAAGCGGAGGAAAAGAAACUAACAAGGAUUCCCCUAGUAACUGCGAGUGAAGCGGGAAAAGCUCAAAUUUAAAAUCUGGCGGUUAACUCCCGUCCGAGUUGUAAUCUGAAGAGGCAUUUUCGAUGUCAGCCCGUGCACAAGUCUCUUGGAACAGAGCGUCAGAGAGGGUGAGAAUCCCGUCCAUGGCACGGACAUAGCUGGUGUCAUAUGAUAUGCUUUUCAAAGAGUCGAGUUGUUUGGGAAUGCAGCUCAAAAUGGGUGGUAAAUUCCAUCUAAAGCUAAAUAUAGGCAAGAAACCGAUAGCGAACAAGUACCGUGAGGGAAAGAUGAAAAGCACUUUGAAAAGAGAGUUAAACAGUACGUGAAAUUGUUGAAAGGGAAACGCUUGAAGUCAGUCGCAUUGUCUGGGACUCAGCCGUGACUAUUGGUUGCGGUUUACUUCCUGGUUAAUGGGUCAAUAUCAAUUUUGGUUGACGGACAAAUUGAGCUUGAAUGUGGCACCCUUUACUGGGUGUGUUAUAGCUUGCUCUCUGAUACGCCAACUGGGAUUGAGGAUCGCAGCACGCCCUUGUGGCCGGGGUUCGCCCACGUAUCGUGCUUAGGAUAUUGACAUAAUGACUUUAAUCGACCCGUCUUGAAACACGGACCAAGGAGUCUAACAUGCCUGCGAGUAUUAGGGUGAUUAAACCCUUGUGCGCAAUGAAAGUGACAGUUGGGACCCUUUCACGAGGGGCACCGACGCCCGGCCUUGAUCUUCUGUGACGGCGCCGCGGUGGAGCAUGUAUGUUGGGACCCGAAAGAUGGUGAACUAUGCCUGAAUAGGGCGAAGCCAGAGGAAACUCUGGUGGAGGCUCGUAGCGAUUCUGACGUGCAAAUCGAUCGUCAAAUUUGGGUAUAGGGGCGAAAGACUAAUCGAACCAUCUAGUAGCUG